rnacentral:misc_RNA from 1 species
UUAAGUUCAGCGGGUAGUCCUACCUGAUUUGAGGUCAGAUUGUCAAUGCCUAUGUUACUUAUAGUAAGUAACACAGUUUUUGUCUCGCAAAGGAGACGGUUAGAAGCACGGACACGAUCAUACUUCACGACCACGGCGUAGACGUUUAUCACACCGAAGACGAUCCGUAAAGGUUCGCACUGAUACGUUUCAGAGGAGUC